GACGAACGCUGGCGGCGUGCUUAAUACAUGCAAGUCGAGCGUGAAAGUCCCUUCGGGGAUGAGUAAAGCGGCGCACGGGUGAGGAACACGUAGAUGAUCUGCCCCUGAGACUGAGAUAACCCUGGGAAACCGGGGCUAAUACCGGAUGAAGCAUCAUUAUUGGUUUGAUGAUGUUAAAGUGGCGCAAGUCACACUUGGGGAUGAGUCUGCGACCUAUCAGCUAGUUGGGGGUGUAAUGGACCACCAAGGCGAAGACGGGUAGCUGGUCUGAGAGGAUGAUCAGCCACACUGGGACUGAGACACGGCCCAGACUCCUACGGGAGGCAGCAGUAGGGAAUAUUGCGCAAUGGGGGCAACCCUGACGCAGCGACGCCGCGUGAGUGAUGAAGGCCUUUCUGGUUGUAAAGCUCUGUAAGGAGGGAAGAACCGCAAGUGGUAACGCACUUGUCUGACGGUACCUCCGGAGUAAGGACCGGCUAAAUACGUGCCAG
rnacentral:rRNA from 1 species